AGCGAACGCUGGCGGUAGGCCUAACACAUGCAAGUUGAACGGCAGCACAGGAGAGCUUGCUCUCUGGGUGGCGAGUGGCGGACGGGUGAGGAAUACAUCGGAAUCUACUCUGUCGUGGGGGAUAACGUAGGGAAACUUACGCUAAUACCGCAUACGACCUACGGGUGAAAGCAGGGGACCUUCGGGCCUUGCGCGAUUGAACGAGCCGAUGUCGGAUUAGCUAGUUGGCGGGGUAAAGGCCCACCAAGGCGACGAUCCGUAGCUGGUCUGAGAGGAUGAUCAGCCACACUGGAACUGAGACACGGUCCAGACUCCUACGGGAGGCAGCAGUGGGGAAUAUUGGACAAUGGGCGCAAGCCUGAUCCAGCCAUACCGCGUGGGUGAAGAAGGCCUUCGGGUUGUAAAGCCCUUUUGUUGGGAAAGAAAUCCAGCUGGCUAAUACCCGGUUGGGAUGACGGUACCCAAAGAAUAAGCACCGGCUAACUUCGUGCCAGCCGCCGCAGUAA
rnacentral:rRNA from 1 species